AGAGUUUGAUCAUGGCUCAGGAUGAACGCUGGCGGCCGUGCUUAACACAUGCAAGUCGAACGAUCCUUCGGGAUAGUGGCGCACGGGUGAGGAACACGUAGCUAACCUGCCUCAGAGUACAGAAUAACUCCUCGAAAGAGGCGCUAAUACUGUAUAAGCUCACGAGUUGUAGAUACUAGUGAGAAAAGAUUUAUCGCUUUGAGAGGGGGCUGCGGCCCAUCAGCUAGAUGGCGAGGUAACGGCUCACCAUGGCAACGACGGGUAGGGGGUCUGAGAGGAUGAUCCCCCACACUGGGACUGAGACACGGCCCAGACUCCUACGGGAGGCAGCAGUGAGGAAUAUUGCACAAUGGGGGAAACCCUGAUGCAGCGACGCCGCGUGGGUGAUGAAGGCCUUCGGGUCGUAAAGCCCUUUUCUGUGUGACGAGCAAGGACGGUAGCACAGGAAUAAGCCUCGGCUAACUACGUGCCAGCAGCCGCGGUAAAACGUAGGAGGCGAGCGUUAUCCGGAGUUACUGGGCGUAAAGCGCAUGUAGGCGGUUGGAUAAGUUGCGUGUGAAAGCUCCCGGCUAAACUGGGAGAGGACAGGCAAGACUGUUCGGCUUGAGGGUGGUAGAGGGGUACAGAAUUCGGGGUGUAGCGGUGAAAUGUGUAGAGAUCCCGAGGAAUACCAGUGGUGAAGACGGUGCCCUGGGCCAUACCUGACGCUGAGAUGCGAAAGCGUGGGGAGCGAACGGGAUUAGAGACCCCGGUAGUCCACGCCGUAAACGAUGCUGAUCUAGGUGUUCACCAGGCGACCAGUCUGGGGAGUGCCGAAGCUAACCGCGAUAAGUCAGCCGCCUG
rnacentral:rRNA from 1 species